AAGUAAUUUGCCCAAGGUAUCUCACACACAGAUAAGUGCUGCAAGAUUCAGAAACGUUAAAUGACUUGCCCAAGAUGAUACAAAUUGUAAAACUUACUCUAGGGAGGAAUUCAGUUUAACUGAAAGAACACAGGAAAGACUACUACCUCAGGAGGCUUUCAUAAGGAUCAAAUGAGACAAUAAAUCUGAAGAUACUUUGAAAGAAGUAAAUAAAAUUUUAGACUUAUCGA